rnacentral:rRNA from 1 species
UGCAGUCGAGCGAAUGGAUUGAGAGCUUGCUCUCAWGAAGUUAGCGGCGGACGGGUGAGUAACACGUGGGUAACCUGCCCAUAAGACUGGGAUAACUCCSGGAAACCGGGGCUAAUACCGGAUAACAUUUUGAACUGCAUGGUUSGAAAUUGAAAGGCSGCUUCSGCUGUCACUUAUGGAUGGACCCRCGUCRCAUUAGCUAGUUGGUGAGGUAACGGCUCACCAAGGCAACGAUGCRUAGCCRACCUGAMAGGGUGAUCGGCCACWCUGGGACUGASACACGGCCCASACUCCUACGGGAGGCAGMARUARGGAAUCUUCCGCAAUGGACGAAAGUCUGACGGAGCAACRCCGCGUGAGUGAUGAAGGCUUUCGGGUCGUAAAACUCUGUUGUUAGGGAAGAACAAGUGCUAGUUGAAUAAGCUGGCACCUUGACGGUACCUAACCAGAAAGCCACGGCUAACUACGUGCCAGCAGCCGCGGUAAUACGUASGUGGCAAGCGUUAUCCGGAAUUAUUGGGCGUAAAGCGCGCGCAGGUGGUUUCUUAAGUCUGAUGUGAAARCCCACGGCUCAMCCGUGGAGGGUCAUUGGAAACUGGGAGACUUGAGUGCAGAAGAGGAAAGUGGAAUUCCAUGUGUAGCGGUGAAAUGCGUAGAGAUAUGGAGGAACACCAGUGGCGAAGGCGACUUUCUGGUCUGUAACUGACACUGAGGCGCGAAAGCGUGGGGAGCAAACAGGAUUAGAUACCCUGGUAGUCCACGCCGUAAACGAUGAGUGCUAACUGUUAGAGGGUUUCCGCCCUUUAGUGCUGAAGUUAACGCAUUAAGCACUCCGCCUG